AGCAGUGUGGCCUAGUGCACAAAGCCUGAGCCUGGAAGUCAGAAGGACCUGGGUUCUAACCCCAGCUCUGCUG
rnacentral:tRNA from 1 species